rnacentral:misc_RNA from 1 species
ACUGUUCCCAACUUGGUGGCUUCUUCUUUUGCAAUGGAAAUUGCAAAGAGACAUCCGAAGAAGAUGAUUGCUGAUACAACCAAUCCACAAGCUCUCCACGAACCAGCCAUCGAUAACAACUCUUCUUUCUCCUUCCUUCCUUCGCUUUCGUUUCCUUUUCUCUCUUCAAGUGGGGUGUUUCAACGUUUUAAAGCUAUUUUUAAUGGUGCG